GAAUGUGAAGGUGACUUGACUGAGACAUCUGUCACUCCACUGAUCUCAGGGUUUCACUGAGUUGAUGUGUUUGGCCUAUUGGGAGUCUCCUUCCUCUCUCACCCUUCAUGCUGUGAAGGCUAUGAACUUGUUCUUUCAAAGAGGAUGAACUUUCCUGCUCUGCUAGGAGAUCACUUUUGCAUGAAGGCAAUAGGAGUAGCUACACUUCCACAACAGAACCCCCAAAUAAGCUCUCUUUUUUUUUAUUUCAUCAUAUUUCCUUCUAGAGCUUUCAAAAGCACUUUUCAUAGCAUGUUAUUAGGU
rnacentral:snRNA from 1 species